AGGAACGACAUCUUCAGCGAGUCCAACAACAUCAGGAGUGACUACUUCGACAAGCCCAUCAACAACAGGUCCAACUCCUCCACCACCUGUUUCUACCACAGG